rnacentral:lncRNA from 1 species
UCCACAGGCACUGCCCGAUUACAGAACACACAGAGUGUUGGCUCAUUCCUGAAUGCCUACACAACCAGAGAAUUUCGUAGCUGCUGACUUCUGCCAAUCAAGCCAGAACAGUUAAAGGAGGAAGAUACUGUCAAAGACAACCACUGGAAUAAUGCUUAUCAAUGAGAGGACAUGAAGAUAUGUCAAACAGGCUGUUCGCUGAGGAGCUCUCAAUUGUCCAUACUUCUAGAGGAAGAUGGAUGCUGCAGUGAAAGUAUGAAAGUGGAGCCCACGAUUUUUUGAAACUGUAAAAGUUGGAGAAUUACAGAUGGAGAAAAGUAAUUUCAAUUCCAG